AUUGAACGCUGGCGGCGGGCUUAACACAUGCAAGUCGAGCGAGCGGCGGACGGGUGAGUAAUGUCUGGGAAACUGCCUGAUGGAGGGGGAUCACUACUGGAAACGGUAGCUAAUACCGCAUACCAUCAGAUGUGCCCAGAUGGGAUUCGCUAGUAGGUGGGGUAAUGGCGCACCUAGGCGACGAUCCCUCGCUGGUCUGAGAGGAUGACCAGCCAAACUGGAACGGAGACACGGUCCAGACUCCUACGGGAGGCAGCAGUGGGGAAUAUUGCACAAUGGGCGCAAGCCUGAUGCAGCCAUGCCGCGUGUGUGAAGAAGGCCUUCGGGUUGUAAAGCACUGUCAGCGGGGAGGCGUUACCCGCAGAAGAAGCACCGGCUAACUCCGUGCCAGCAGCCGCGGUAAUUC
rnacentral:rRNA from 1 species